rnacentral:rRNA from 1 species
GGUUGUUGUUUUUUCUCUGUGUCUGCUAGAUUGACGCUGGCGGCAGGCCUAACACAUGCAAGUCGAGCGGAUGAAGGGAGCUUGCUCCUGGAUUCAGCGGCGGACGGGUGAGUAAUGCCUAGGAAUCUGCCUGGUAGUGGGGGACAACGUUUCGAAAGGAACGCUAAUACCGCAUACGUCCUACGGGAGAAAGCAGGGGACCUUCGGGCCUUGCGCUAUCAGAUGAGCCUAGGUCGGAUUAGCUAGUUGGUGAGGUAAUGGCUCACCAAGGCGACGAUCCGUAACUGGUCUGAGAGGAUGAUCAGUCACACUGGAACUGAGACACGGUCCAGACUCCUACGGGAGGCAGCAGUGGGGAAUAUUGGACAAUGGGCGAAAGCCUGAUCCAGCCAUGCCGCGUGUGUGAAGAAGGUCUUCGGAUUGUAAAGCACUUUAAGUUGGGAGGAAGGGUUGUAGAUUAAUACUCUGCAAUUUUGACGUUACCGACAGAAUAAGCACCGGCUAACUCUGUGCCAGCAGCCGCGGUAAUACAGAGGGUGCAAGCGUUAAUCGGAAUUACUGGGCGUAAAGCGCACGUAGGUGGUUCGUUAAGUUGGAUGUGAAAUCCCCGGGCUCAACCUGGGAACUGCAUCCAAAACUGGCGAGCUAGAGUAUGGUAGAGGGUGGUGGAAUUUCCUGUGUAGCGGUGAAAUGCGUAGAUAUAGGAAGGAACACCAGUGGCGAAAGGCGACCACCUGGACUGAUACUGACACUGAGGUGCGAAAGCGUGGGGAACAAACAGGAUUAGAUACCCUGGUAGUCCACGCCGUAAACGAUGUCAACCAGCCGUUGGGAGCCUUGAGCUUCUUAGUGGGCGCAGCUAACGCAUU